rnacentral:rRNA from 1 species
CCUACGGGUGGCAGCAGUGGGGAAUAUUGGACAAUGGGGGGAACCCUGAUCCAACCAUGCCGCGUGUGUGAAGAAGGCCCUCGGGUUGUAAAGCACUUUCAGUGAGGAAGAACGCCUGGUGGUUAAUACCCAUCAGGAAAGACAUCACUCACAGAAGAAGCACCGGCUAACUCCGUGCCAGCAGCCGCGGUAAUACGGAGGGUGCGAGCGUUAAUCGGAAUUACUGGGCGUAAAGCGCGCGUAGGUGGCUUGAUAAGCCGGUUGUGAAAGCCCCGGGCUCAACCUGGGAACGGCAUCCGGAACUGUCAAGCUAGAGUGCAGGAGAGGAAGGUAGAAUUCCCGGUGUAGCGGUGAAAUGCGUAGAGAUCGGGAGGAAUACCAGUGGCGAAGGCGGCCUUCUGGACUGACACUGACACUGAGGUGCGAAAGCGUGGGUAGCAAACAGGAUUAGAUACCCUAGUAGUC